rnacentral:SRP_RNA from 1 species
GACGGGCCCCCUCGCAUGGGAGCGCGCCCAACCGGGUCAGGUGGGGAACCAAGCAGCCCUUAGCGUUGCAACCAGUGCCGAGGUAAGGCUCGUCACC